GAAUGGCGGUCGUGACUCACUUGCACUGAGAAGCGUCCCAACCUUAGACUUAGCAAGAAAAAAAAAUAGAAAAAAUAGGAGAGGCAUAGGAAUUCUUUAGUGACCCUAAAUUGUAGUUGACUCUUUAGUAAAGAAGUGUUUAAGCCUGAUUCUGAUUAACGGCUCAUAGUGAGGACUCUGUUGAAGUUUGAUAGUCUUUGUUUUGUUUCACUAGAGAGCAUGCUAGCACACACGAUGCACUUCACACUUGUAGUGGAAGA
rnacentral:lncRNA from 1 species